GAGGGCACAAAAAGGGCCAGGAGCACCUACUUUGUGAAGAAUAACAUUCUACACAGCAGUAGGUAUAUCAUGGGCCCCUAUUUGGAGAAUGGUAACCACUGGACCUUUGUUCAUUUUGACCUAACCUCCAAGGUCAUUACAUAUGCCAAUUCUUUGGGUG